rnacentral:rRNA from 1 species
AGACGUCUACAUUAGAUACCCGGGUAGUCCCAGCCGUAAACUAUGCGCGUUAGGUGUAUCGGUGACCACGAGUCACCGAGGUGCCGAAGGGAAACCGUGAAACGUGCCGCCUGGGAAGUACGGUCGCAAGGCUGAAACUUAAAGGAAUUGGCGGGGAGCACCACAACAGGUGGAGCCUGCGGUUUAAUUGGACUCAACGCCGGGAAGCUCACCGGAUAAGACAGCGGAAUGAUUGCCGGGCUGAAGACUCUGCAUGACUAGCUG